GCGGGAGUGGGCCCCGGGCCAGAGUGCGAGAAUCCGGCCUCCGCCAUCCCACUGGCUCCUUGCAGCCGGCCUGGAGAGUGCUUGGAAAGAGCUGGUCCUGCAAUCCCGCCUCCCUCCCUCUUGGGAUGUUUGCCCUGCACCCGGCACCCAGAGCAGCUUGGAGUGGAGAAAAGUUCAGAAAGUUCUGGGCAGUUUGUGGGAAGCCCUUCACUAGAGUGCGGAAAUCCCCGCGGUGGAAUGAGAGCCCUGCGAAGGUUGCACAAGCAGCGCACUUUGAGCUGCACACUUCAGGUGUGCGUUCAGAGCUUUAGUGGUUUCAGGAGUGCGCCCAGAGCCCAGGGUUGCUUCUGAUGGUGGUUUAACUAGAGUUCUUAAGGGGAUGAGGAUGUGAAGCAAUUCCAUGAAGGUGGAUGUUGGCCACCAUCCCAGGUGAUCAAACAAAGGGUCCCAGCCCUCAAAUAGGCAGAGGCAUUAUAUAAGUCCAUUGAAUGUAUAACAGUUUUCAAGAAGCUUGAUUAAAUAGAGCCUCUGGCCCUAGCAUUAACUUUCUGAAACUUGCUGUUUCCCCGAUAUGAUACUUGUCUUGGGGACAAUCAAGAAAGUCUGUACUCAGCAUACAACUUUAUCAGAAGUCUGGGCAAGAUUAACUUGCUGUUUCCCACCCCGCCCCUUCCGGACUUGUAAAUGGCAUUGGUGACCGUUGCCCCCUGACCCCUGAUAAAGAGCAGUAAACCUUUCAAAAGUUGCUGUUCUUAGUGUAGAGCUGGAUUUCUUACCUCGUGGGAAGAGCCUGUAACACACAGAGCUUCUGCACCUGGUAGUCACAGGCAAGCCCAAAUUGGGAACCUGCCAGCUUAUUCUUAUUCUUAAAUUCCACAUGGGUUUUGAUUUAUCUUGGGGUGCUUUCAUAAGACGUUUCAAGAUGGAUGACCAGAUAAUCUCAGCUUACCACGCUCAGGAGCUCAGGUUCAGUAACGUUCCUCCUCUUAAUGCAGACACCACUGAGCCUCCGAGUGUAUCCGUUGGGACCUGGGUAUUAAAGCAAUCAAGAAUGGGAGAUCUGUGCAUAAUGUGGGGAUUCUGGUGUCACAGCAUGGAGGGCAUGUGUUUUAGGUGAGAAGAUGAAACUGGUUUCACUGAUGUGAGAAAAAUGUGUCCAACUGUCCACAAAUGAGGUUCAUUACCUCCUGCACGUAGCUCCCUGAGUACUACUGACUGGGAGUCUGAGUGGUUCGGACUUCUAACCUGCAGCCCUGGGCUUCCAGGUGGACUUGUUGACUGAGGCAGACACUGAAGUCAGCUGGGUGAGGUAUCUCACUAUGUCAGUUUCAGCACUUGGGGGGCUGGGGUAGGAGAAUCGAUCGCCCUCAGGUGCUCACGAUGAACUGAGGUACACAGUUCAAUCUUGACCCCAAAUCAAAACCAGAAACCUUAGAAGCAAAAUAGCAACACCUCCCCCAACAAAUAUGUAGAUAUUGAGAAAUAAUUGAUGCUAUUGGCCAGCCAAAUGCCUACUGCUUAAAAGUUUCCUACCAUCCAUCAUCCAUUUGAAACCCAUCCAAGGACACCAGUGUCUAAAUAUAUCUCUGUUCACGAAACACCUGAGACCAAGCGUACACCAGUUAUAAAUGCCCUGCACUACUCAGGCAGCCUCAGAACAUAGCACUGGUGUCAACGAGGUAAAAGUUAAGAAUAGUAAAUAAUUAAAAGUUUGCUACAACUUGUCCUGUGAGGUGGACGGGACCAUUGCCUAUAAAGUCCAUGGAACGGAGAAAGGAAAGUGACCCAUGCUUUGAUGUGGGGCAAAACCUGUUUUCAAUAAACUGAGAUGCCUGAUCUGGAGAAGCAUCUGUCCUUGUCUACAGCAAGUAGAGAACUUUAUUUGUAGGCCUGAGUUGGGGACAGGAACAAGAAUGGAGUCUAAAUAGUGAUAGGCCAGAUUUCAGUACAGCUAUUCCCUUAGAUGGGAGGAACCACUAGAGCUGGAGGAUUCUUGGGAAUUGUGGGCAGUCAAUCUCUCCUCUCUCCUCUCUCUCCUGUGAGUGGCUCUCACUUACUCCUUUUCAGAUGCCAGGAAACUAGACACAAUAGCCACCUAAGUGGAAACUUGGUAAUGGUGAACUACUACUUAGCAGAGAAAAUCCAGACAGGGGAAAGCCCACUCUCUUGGGACGAAGAGAUCUCAUUUGGUGAUCUCAUUUCCCUAGAACAACCAACAUGGUAUAGGCUCGAAGUGGUAGGUGUGAUCUCUUAAUUCUUAAGGCAAAGAACACUGACGCCCAGACAGAGGGGCGUCCCAGGGUUUGUGUUUCCUCAGCGCUAGGCAACAGGCUGGGCACUCAGCGUUCUUUGUUUGAGAGUCCUUUCUAAGACAGAUGUUUUUAUUUCUGUUGUACCGCUAAGGAAGUGAACUUCCACAGUAUUACUUGUUCAGCCAGUUCUCUGCCAGUAUUUUGCCAGCUUCCUUUUGGCAAAAUAGGAAUGUAGCCUGCAUAGCAUGCUCUCCCUUUGCAUAUUAUAGACAUUCGAAUACUUGUUGCCUCUUCCCAGGAAGUAGGGGUGAAGGGCUGCCCCAGCUCAGGUAGCGAAUUUUCACUCUUGGAAUCUACCCCCGAAGAGGAAACUUAAAACUUGGUGGACCUUGAGAGGCCCCCCGGGUGGGCAGACCAGAAGGAUCUCCGGCCUUCCAUACUUGAAUGACCUCGGUGACUUCAAUUACUGGAAUUACAAAUUGAUUCAGUCUUCAGUUGGGAGGUUUAGGAAUAGCUUCGGAGAUGGAGCGACUAAAAUAGUUCUUAUUCUGAGUGAGGGAUGACGGAAGGAACAGUGGUCGUAUUUUGUGAGAAACUAUACCUCAUUGAUACCUUUGAAAAUGUUACCAGUCUUGGUCAGAAUAUCAGAAUGUUAUUUUCACUGUCUUAAACCAUCUUUUCCCAGCUAGGAGGAGGCAGUAAGAUUGCUGUGAGUCUGAGGCCAGCCCUGGCUCCAUGGUUCCAGACCAAUCUGAGAUACAGUGUGAGACCCGGUUUCAAACAAAAACGAAAACCCAAAAACAUUCCUAAGUUCUUUCCCAUAGUGCAUUUCUUUCAGGUGGAAACCAAGCAUGGCAGAGAGCAAAAUAAUAAAUGUCUGAUGUUUUUCUAUGGCUGUGUUGUAGCUUUUGUAGUCUCUAAAACAGGGCUACCCAUAUGUGGACCACAGGUGCAGGGGUUACAUGUUCUCCUAGCAGGUUUAAGACUCCAGGUUUUAUUCACAACACUCCCUACCCCCACCCCCACCCCAACCACCUACACAACCAACUAAAACACCACACAACAGACUUAAGCUCAGUGGUAGAGCACUUGCCUGACAUGGGACAAGGUCCUAUGUAUUUGAUCCCUAGUACCAACACCCCCCAACACACACACACACAUUCAUAUUCAUAUUCUCUCUCUCUGCAAAGAAAUAUUUGGGCUUUAUAUGUAAUUUAGAAUUUCUUUAUAGACCUACUAAAAUAUUUAGACCGUUAAACCCAUUGUUUCAGGAUAUAACUAGUUCUGUUGUUUCAGGAUAUAACUAGUUUUAUACUGUCUUGGAUGUCAGUGUAUGCUUUAUGCUUGGAGUCCGUUUCAGUUCACUGGGCUGUAUAUCUCAGUACUAAGCACAGUUGGCCGAUAUUAUCAUUUGGACAGUGUGUUCCAAAACUAGUGACUUAUGGUUAUGUUUUUUUUUUUUUUUUUAAACUCUGUGUGAGAGUUUCAGAAGCUCUAUGUGCUGGCUUUCCAGUCAGAUGCUAGUUGAUAAGGGUGGGUGAGUGGUUUUUUUGAACUGCUUUGGUAGUGUUUUAUGCUCAUUGUGGGAACAUUCCAAGAUGGGUCUAUAGAGCGAUUUAUGGUGGACCCAGGACUCUAUUUUUUUUCUUUUUUUUUUUUUUUUUUGGCUCCUCCACUUCCUUCCCUGCUGCUAAAACCUGUUUAGUCCUUGGUUUUAGAAAAACAUCUUUCUCUGCAGUGGAAGGGCAUCCAGUUGUCCAGGCUUGGUUGUCCUCAUUUCUUGACUUAAUAAUUACUUCUUAGGUAAGUCAGUUUCAAUUGUCUAGGCUGUGUGGACCUGGGUGAGAAGAGGGACCAUGAUUCUUCCAGUGGGAGAGAGCAAAGAAGCACUUCCCCAUGGCUAAUGCAGAUGGGCAGAGGACAAACGCUUCCCCUGGUGAGAUGUGAUGGAAACUGGUUUCCAGACACAUGUGUUCCCGUGAUGGUGACUGCUCGCAAAGUCGUUGUAGUUGAUCUAAGAAGAGCAGUGAGCACCCUAUUGGAACGUCAUGGUGGAAGGUGAGGCUAGGGAGUUACUGCAGUGAACUCCAGAGCAGAUGGGAAGGGGGAGAGAGAGAGGCUUUCUGCAGAGGUCAGUGGGCUCUGAGGCUUUUGACAGUGGUUCUGAGAGCAAGAUGCUCUCCUCUUGUCCUCCAGUAAAGGGGCGAGCAAAGAGAAGGGGCAAAACUUUGAUUGCUUGCAGUGCCCUAGGCAAGUUGUUUGAACGGGGACUAUUCAAAUUCGAGAUGAGAAAUGUAAGAUGCUCUUUAUGUGGUUUUUAGCCCCUUUAAAUUUAAUUAAUUUAGUUAUUGUUUGCUGAUUUAAGGACAAAGCUGUGGUUAAGGACUCUGUGUCUUUGCUGCCUUCUCUUGCUUAGGCCCCCACAAGGCCGCCCUCUGAGCAGCCAAAGCUUCUAGUUUCUCUCGACAGCCUAGUUUCUGUGUUACCUAGUGAGCACAGCUCUGUCUCCCUCAAAGGAACUAUCAUUGUCUCUCUCAUCUAGCCUGCCCAAUCACAUUCCCUUCUUGUGCCCAAGUUGCAGUUCUGGACAAACAGAGGCAGCGAACUCUUCCUUUCCACUCCUUAAGUUUUCUUCCUCCUAUCUCAAGAUCAGUGGACUUGGGACUCCUGUGGAAAGCUCUGUAGAAGACAUCCAGAGAGAGUUGAGAUGCACUAGUCAUACCUUGCUCUGGCUGCUCCGUCCAAGGUCACAUUUCUCCUCUGACCUUUGGACCCCCCCUCCCCUGCCCCCUUCCCUCGCUUCUGGGGAUUGAACUCAGGACAUCAGGCUUGUGUGGCAAGUGCUUUUCACUCACCAAACUGUUUCCUUGACCUCAUAGCUAAGCGCCUCUUGAUUUUUGUGGUCUUCCUGUAGUGCUCUCUCUCCCGGCAAACCUGAAUCCUGUUCAGUCAGUCUUACUUUCUACUUUGGAACCUUACAGCCCCCGCUCUGUCCUUGCUUUCCUCCAACAAACCUGGCUGUCAAGGGGGCCUCCUGGCACUGGUGUGUGUAACUGUGAGGAACGUGGUUAGAGGUGGCUGCUUCCCAAGGUUAGAGGUAUGUGUUCCCAAGGCUCUUGACCCUUCUUAUGUAAGGCUUUUAAAUAUAUUAAGGUUUAGGGUAAUGUGAGGGAUUAACAUCACCCCAACGUGACCUGUAUGCUUGGGAGAUUCUACAACAACGGCCACUUCUGUUAGGAAAUGUGGGUACACUGGCUGCCCAAACAGGAAGUGGUGUUUUAAACUCUCAGGCAGUUCAGUUACUGCUGUCUUCCUGUUGAGGUAUAUAUAGCGGAGGCCAGUGUUAAAUGAGUGUAUAAUACAGUAUUGUGUGAGAAACAAACUGAGCCUAUCCCCCUGGAAGCUCUGAUUCAUGUUUACCAUCCCUGGGAA
rnacentral:sRNA from 1 species